AUAUCACGGAGGAACACCGAUGGCGAAGGCAGGUCUCUGUGCCGCAACUGACGCUGAUGGAGAGAAAGCAUGGGGAGCGACACCGGAUUAGAUACCCUGGUAGUCCAUGCCGUAAACGUUGGGCACUAGGUGUGGGGCUCAUUUCACGAGUUUCCGUGCCGCAGCAAACGCAUUAUAGUGCCCCGCCUGGGGAGUACGCGCCGCAAGGCUAAAACUCAAAGGAAUUGACGGGGGCCCGCACACAGCGGCGGAGCAUGCGGAUUAAUUCGAUGCAACGCGAAGAACCUUAUCAAGGCUUGACAUGCACGAGAAGCCACCAGAGAUGGUGGUCUCUUUGGACACUCGUGCACAGGUGGUGCAUGGUUGUCGUCAGCUCGUGUCGUGAGAUGUUGGGUUAAGUCCCGCAACGAGCGCAACCCUCGUCACAUGUUGUCAGCGGGUUAUGCCGGGGACUCAUGGGAGACUGCCGGGGUCACCUCGGAGGAAGGUGGGGAUGACGUCAAAUCAUCAUGCCCCUUAUGUCUUUGGCUUCACGCAUGCUACAAUAGGCGGUACAAAAAGCUGCGAUAUCGUAAGGUGGAGAGAAUCCCCAAAAGCCGCUCUCAGUUCGGAUUGGGGUCUGCAACUCGACCCCAUGAAGUCUGAGUCUCUAGUAAUCGCAGAUCAACAACGCUGCGGUGAAUACUUUCCCGGGCCUUGUACACAACGCCCGUCAAGUCACGAAAGUCGGUAACACAC
rnacentral:rRNA from 1 species